AAAGUCGUAACAAGGUUUCCGUAGGCGAACCUGCGGAAGGAUCAAUUAUGAGUAAGCCCGGCUGGGCCAUCUCUUAUUCGUGUGAUAUAUUAAUUUCUCUCUCUCUCAAGUGUAGGUCCAAUGGAUUUCACUGGGAAACGUUUAAACUCUAGGCCAUUUUGGCCAAUUUCUGAAACAUAAAACUUUCAACAACGGAUCUCUUGGUUCUG
rnacentral:misc_RNA from 1 species